GCACAGGCCAUAGAACUUCCCCGCAAUAAUUCUUAUAGCAGAUCUUUUAGAAAAACAUUCAAUCUUGAUUUAAAAAUUGCCAGUGAUGAAGCAUCCACCUUCACCCUUGGUUUUCCAAUUUUUUAAUCGUUCUCGUAGCUCUUCUCUAAACCAACUCCAAUUAAUGAUCAUCCUUGAAUUGUGGGCACCAGAACUACACACAGCUUUCCAGCAGAGGUUGCACCAGUGCCAAAUAUAAAGCAACUGAAUGGCUACAUGUCUCAGAAUAUUUGCCACAAUCUCAUAAUUGAGAUUCAUUCUCCUUAGCCCAGAGGGCAGAAGCUUAGACUGUACUUUUGUCCUGGUUUGCUGUACUUCACAACACUGCUGUGUCUAAUCCAUCAUACCUAGACCAGAUGUAGAUGUGACAGCUGCCAUCAAGAAGGACAAAUUUUAAAAGGUUGUGGGAAAACAGCAGCACAAGGAAAAGGGGGAGGCAAUGGGCAGUCCCCUUAUCCUGCUCUCUGGGGUGAAACACUGAUGUCAUCAAAGAUUCAAAGCUGCCAGCACAGGGAGUCACUACACUUUGCCAUGUGCUUAUUAAAAGAGGUGUUGUGAGGAAUAGGUGCCAGCGACAUCCUUCUGACCAGCACAGAGGCUCAAGGGACCAACCCAACAUAAAUUUUUAAUGGGAUCAGCUGUGACACCAUAUACACAGAGAAGACCUUAAGGCCUUAAAGUCAUCCUAUUGGAACAUUUUUAGGGGCCCAGAAAAAUUGGUUUAAUUAAUCUUCUUUUUUCAGGAUUGCUUUUUUUCCCCCCAGUAUAAAUUAUGUAUACUGAAAACCUGCCAAUUAUAGCAAAUUAAGGGACUUGGCAAGUGCAUCCCUUGGAGGCAGAUGGUAAAUAAUAUUCAGAUUCUGACUUGAAACAGGGCUAGUACUUAGCUGAUGCAGGAUUGAAAAGCAAUCCAAAUACAUGAAA